UAUAAGACUGGGAUAACUUCGGGAAACCGGAGCUAAUACCGGAUAAUAUAUUGAACCGCAUGGUUCAAUAGUGAAAGACGGUUUUGUUGUCACUUUUAGAUGGAUCCGCGCCGCAUUAUCUAUUUGGUAAGGUAACGGCUUACCAAGGCAACGAUGCGUAUCCGACCUGAGAGGGUGAUCGGCCCCACUGGAACUGAGACACGGUCCAGACUCCUACGGGAGGCAGCAGUAGGGAAUCUUCCGCAAUGGGCAAAAGCCUGACAGAGCACCGCCGCGUGAGUGAUAAAGGUGUUCGGAUCGUAAAACUCUGUUAUGAGGGAAGAACACAUGUGUAAGUAACUAUGCACGUCUUGACGGUGCCUAAUCAGAAAGCCACGGCUAACUACGUGCCAGCAGCCGCGGUAAUA
rnacentral:rRNA from 1 species